UACGUAGGGGGCAAGCGUUGUCCGGAUUUAUUGGGCGUAAAGAGCGUGUAGGCGGUCUGGUAGGUCCGUUGUGAAAACUCGAGGCUCAACCUCGGGACGCCGAUGGAAACCCUCAGACUAGAGUCCGGAAGAGGAGAGUGGAAUUCCUGGUGUAGCGGUGAAAUGCGCAGAUAUCAGGAAGAACACCCGUGGCUAAGGCGGCUCUCUAGUACGGUACUGACGCUGAGACGCGAAAGCGUGGGGAGCGAACAGG
rnacentral:rRNA from 1 species